rnacentral:rRNA from 1 species
CCUACGGGUGGCAGCAGUGGGGAAUAUUGGUCAAUGGGCGAAAGCCUGUUCCAGCCAUGCCGCGUGUGUGAAGAAGGCCUUCGGGUUGUAAAGCACUUUCAGUGGGGGAGUAAGCCUUGGGGCUAAUACCCUCGAGGAAGGACAUCACCCACAGAAGAAGCACCGGCUAACUCCGUGCCAGCAGCCGCGGUAAUACGGAGGGUGCGAGCGUUAAUCGGAAUUACUGGGCGUAAAGCGCGCGUAGGCGGUCUGAUAAGCCGGUUGUGAAAGCCCCGGGCUCAACCUGGGAACGGCAUCCGGAACUGUCAGGCUAGAGUGCAGGAGAGGAAGGUAGAAUUCCCGGUGUAGCGGUGAAAUGCGUAGAGAUCGGGAAGAAUACCGGUGGCGAAGGCGGCCUGCUGGGCUGACACUGACGCUGAGGUGCGAAAGCGUGGGUAGCAAACAGGAUUAGAUACCCGUGUAGUC